GGGAUUGAGUGCUCUUCGUUUUCAUUCUGGAAAAAUCCUCUUCUCGAAAAAAAUCAGAUACAAGAGUUGUCGCCUGAGAUUCGCCGGAACUAAAUGGAAGUGACAUCGGAGAAGAAAGAAUUGGAUAACAAGAACACGAACAGCACUCAAUCCCUAAUUAUCGAUCCCUCAAUAGCCGCCGAGGAUCGUGAACGCAUCGCUGUUGACCUAAAAGCCGGCUUGCAUCCUCUCAAGAACAAGUUUGUUUUCUGGUACACUCGCCGGACACCUGGGGUUCGAACACAAACAUCAUACGAGGACAAUAUAAAGAAAAUUGUUGAUUUUAGUACUGUUGAAGGGUUUUGGGUUUGCUACUGCCACUUGGCUCGCCCAUCAGCAUUGCCCAGCCCAACUGAUUUGCAUCUUUUCAGAGAGGGUAUUCGUCCUUUAUGGGAGGAUGCUGCUAAUUGCCAUGGUGGGAAGUGGAUAAUUCGUUUUAAAAAGGCUGUCUCAGGACGUUUUUGGGAGGACCUGGUUCUUGCUUUGGUAGGUGACCAACUCGAUUAUGGUGACAACAUAUGUGGUGCUGUUCUAAGCAUUCGUUUCAAUGAAGACAUCUUGAGUGUAUGGAAUCGUAAUGCGUCAGAUCAGCAGGCUGUGAUGGCAUUGAGAGACUCAAUCAAGCGACACUUGAAGCUUCCUGGUGGCUAUAUCAUGGAAUACAAAGCCCAUGAUGCUUCCUUGCGUGACAACUCAUCUUACCGCAAUACUUGGAUAAGAUCAUAAACUCUUAUUUCGCUGUCAUACUUUGAGAAAAGAGAUUUGCAUAGUUCGGUCGGUAUUUGGUCAAAGAGAUUUUCAUGGCAAAAAUGGUUGAUGUUGAUCAUGUAAUAUGAGCUAACAAUUAGAUUUUACCGGCACUCGAAAUCUCUUGAUUGCCUGUAGUUCUUCUGAUGUGUAUGCAUAACUCUAUUGUCAAGUGGAUUAUCCCCAGUACUGGCUCAAGUAUAAUUGACAAUUGAGUCAUUCCCAG
rnacentral:misc_RNA from 1 species